GUACAGAGUCAAUGUGGAGGCUAUAUACAGGGUGUUACGGUACAGAGUCAAUGUGGAGGCUAUAUACAGGGUAUUACGGUACAGAGUCAAUGUGGAGGCUAUAUACAGGGUAUUACGGUACAGAGUCAAUGUGGAGGCUAUAUACAGGGGGUACCGGUACAGAGUCAAUGUGGAGGCUAAAUACAGGGGUACAGAGUCAAUGUGGAGGGUAUAUACAGGGUAUUACGGUACAGAGUCAAUGUGGAGGCUAUAUACAGGGUAUUACGGUACAGAGUCAAUGUGGAGGCUAUAUACAGGGUAUUACGGUACAGAGUCAAUGUGGAGACUAUAUACAGGGGGUACCGGUACAGAGUCAAUGUGGAGACUAUAUACAGGGGUACCGGUACAGAGUCAAUGUGGAGGCUAUAUACAGGGUGUUACGGUACAGAGUCAAUGUGGAGGCUAUAUACAGGGUAUUACGGUACAGAGUCAAUGUGGAGACUAUAUACAGGGGGUACCGGUACAGAGUCAAUGUGGAGACUAUAUACAGGGGGUACCGGUACAGAGUCAAUGUGGAGGUUAUAUACAGGGUGUUACGGUACAGAGUCAAUGUGGAGGCUAUAUACAGGGUAUUACGGUACAGAGUCAAUGUGGAGGCUAUAUACAGGGUAUUACAGUACAGAGUCAAUGUG
ensembl:lncRNA